rnacentral:lncRNA from 1 species
UCCUGUUGACCUCCUACUUAAGUUUAUGUCUUCUAGAUUCCACAUAAAGAUGAUGCUGGCACAAGGUUUCAACCCAUCCCGUCUUAUGACCUGAAAAAUGAAAAUAUCCUGUUGGACCCCUUAGAUCAGGUCAUCCCCGUGCUUCCCAGCCAGUGUCUGCAACUCCUCAUCCUUGACCUGGUGCAGACUCUUAGCCUUGCCUGGCCGCAGUGGGCGAUCUCCUCGUACUGGGCGUUGACCUCCGCGAUGAUGCCAUCCACGUCCAGGGAGCGGCUGUUGUCCAUGGACAGCACCACAGACAUGUCCGAGAUCUGGGACUGCAGCUUCCAGAUCUCCUCUUCACACAGCUCUCUGGGGAAGUUGAUCUUGUCAGUCAGCCCUUCCAGGUGAGACUCCAGCACUGCCUUGUUCAUGUAAGCUCCAUCCACAUCCUUCUCGAUGAAGGCAAAUUCAUUCCCCAUCUCUGUCCGCUCGUUGAUCUCAUCCUGGUACUUAUCGUUGAAGUCUUCCAGCAGCCCCUGCGUGUUGCCAAGCUCUGCCUCCAGCUUCAGCUUCUCCUGGCCCAGUGUCCAGCUGCUGCCCAAGGCUGUGGAUGUGGCUCUCAUACACGCUGUCCAUGUUGCUCCCAGCUGUCUUCUGCUGCUGCAGGAUGCCCCACUUAGUCUCCAGCAUUUGUUCUGCUGCUCCAGGAACUGCACCUUGUCGAUGAAGGAGGCAAACUUGUUGAGGGUCUUGAUCUGCUCCUUCUCCUGGGUAUGCACAGCCUGGAUAUUGGGGUCCAGGUCCAGCUUAAGGGGGCUCAGCAGACUCUGGUUCACCAUGAUGGCUGUGUCGCCCACCCCCACCCCAUACCACUGCCCCACCAUAGCCACCACCCAGACUCAUGCUGGUGCCUAGGCCACUCCAGAAGCUGCUGCUGCUGCCCACUUGGGAGACGCUCAAGGAGCUGAUGUGGGCACCGGGACCGCUGGUGUAGGAGUGGCUGCUGAAAGCCCAGGGGCCAGAGAUGGAUGCCUUGUAGGGCUUCUGGGUCACCGUGAUGGACACGAUGGAGGCAGGAGUGGAGGUAGGCAGGCCGAACCAGAUGUAGAUUCAAGGAUGGAGAAGCUUCCUCUAGGUCAGCCCUUGUUUUCCAGAAGGGGGCGGUAAUCUCACCUUCCCAGAUUAGGCAGUUGUUUUUUUCUCUGUAUGUUCUGAUCUGGGAGAAGGCACUGUAUAUGGUCUCCUUGCUCACAAGUGGAAUCUUAUUUAUCUUGCUGUGGCCUUGGGAACUUGGCAACUAGAGUUGGGUCACAGCAUUGUGGGGAAACUUCCACUUUUGUGUCAUUAACACAACAGUGGUUGCAAAAGAUAGAAUCAUUAGUGCCCUGGAGAUCUAGAUACACGCCUUGACAGAAUCAUGAGUGCCCUAGAGAUCUAGAUACAUGCCUUGAUAGAAUCAUGAGUGCCCUGGAGAUCUAGACACAUGCCUUCCCAGGUCCAGGCAAUAGUGGUGGGGGAUUUCAGGUAGAAUCCAUCAAGUGCACGAGAGAAAGUUCCACCUAAUGGUCGGGGUCUGGGUACUUUGAGAUUGCUAUGGAUGGUGAAGAGGGCUAGGGAGUUAGCCAAGAGAGUUUUUGGAUCGGCCAGAAGGUGAAAUUCUCUAUCCUGGGGAUGUUGAUGACAAAUCCAGCAACCAUGAAGAUGAUUUCCUAAAGCUAUAAUUUUUGAAAUAUUUACUAUAAAGUUUUGUUCCCACUUACACAGGAUUAGGUUAAUUGGGAGAGCAAACAGGAUUAACAGUGGCACAUGGUAUCCACUUGGGCCUUAGAGUGGCCUCUACACCCAACAAGGACAAGAGAUGUUUCCUGGGAGGAGGUAGUUGCCCAAAGCGACAGAAAAGAAGUAUUACAAUCAGGAAGAAGAGAAAAAUGUUCCCACCCACGGCGUCACGUUACCACUUAUGGCUGAAUAUUGAUUCUUUUAAAUAGGUAGCAGAGGUCCUCCAAAGGUUCACAGAUGUAGGUCGUGGUAUCCUGCUUUUGUGCCUGUGACUCAUAAGAAACAGGUUUAAUCCUAGACAGGUGUACCCAACAAGUUAUUCCCUGAAGCUUAGCAGCAGAGGGGAUACUCAACAACACCUGAUAGGGGCUCUGUCAUUUCGGUUGUAAUUGAUCCUCGGGGGACUCUUUCUUUCCAAGUUUUUAUUAAGACUAAGCCUCCUGGCUGGGCGCG